GACGAACCGAGCGAACGUUGUUCGGAAUCACUGGGCUUAAAGGGCGCGUAGGCGGGUGCUCAAGUCCGGGGUGAAAUCCUCCAGCUCAACUGGAGAACUACCUCGGAUACUGGGUGUCUCGAGUGUGGUAGGGGUAUGCGGAACUAUCGGUGGAGCGGUGAAAUGCGUUGAUAUCGAUAGGAACUCCGGUGGCGAAGGCGGCAUACUGGACCACUACUGACGCUGAUGCGCGAAAGCCAGGGGAGCAAACGGG
rnacentral:rRNA from 1 species